rnacentral:rRNA from 1 species
AGGAUGAACGCUGGCGGUCUGCUUAACACAUGCAAGUCGAACGGGCGUAGCAAUACGUUAGUGGCGGACGGGUGAGUAACGCGUGAGAAUCUACCUUCAGGACGGAGACAACAGUUGGAAACGACUGCUAACCCCCGAUGUACUGAAAAGGCAAAUAUUUAUAGCCUGAAGAAGAGCUCGCGUCCGAUUAGCUAGUUGGAGAGGUAAAAGCUCACCAAGGCGACGAUCGGUAGCUGGUCUGAGAGGACGAUCAGCCACACUGGGACUGAGACACGGCCCAGACUCCUACGGGAGGCAGCAGUGGGAAUUUUCCGCAAUGGGCGAAAGCCUGACGGAGCAAGACCGCGUGGGGGAAGAAGGCUCUUGGGUUGUAAACCCCUUUUCUCUGGGAAGAAGUUGUGAAAGCAGCCUGACGGUACCAGAGGAAUCAGCAUCGGCUAACGUCCGUGCCAGCAGCCGC